GACGAUCGCUGGCGGCGUGCUUAAUACAUGCAAGUCGAACGGAGACAUUAGCAAUAAUGUUUUAGUGGCGAACGGGUGAGUAACGCGUUGGUGACCUGCCCCGAAGAGAGGGAUAACAGUUCGAAAGGAUUGCUAAUACCCCAUGUGGUUGUUUGGAUUAGAUGCCUUACAACUAAACGGACUUAUUCGCUUCGGGAGGGGCCUGCGUCCCAUCAGCUAGUUGGUAGGGUAAUGGCCUACCAAGGCUAUGACGGGUAGGGGACCUGAGAGGGUGGCCCCCCACAAUGGAACUGAAACACGGUCCAUACACCUACGGGUGGCAGCAGUAGGGAAUAUUGGUUAAUCUGCGAAAGCGGGAACCAGCAACGCCGCGUGCACGAUGAAGGCCUUCGGGUUGUAAAGUGCUUUUUGAGAGGAUGAGGAAGGACAGUACUCUUAGAAUAAGCUUCGGCUAACUACGUGCCAGCCGCCGCCGUAACAC
rnacentral:rRNA from 1 species